rnacentral:rRNA from 1 species
GAUAAACGCUGGCGGCGUGCCUAAUACAUGCAAGUCGAGCGAACGGACGAGAAGCUUGCUUCUCUGAUGUUAGCGGCGGACGGGUGAGUAACACGUGGAUAACCUACCUAUAAGACUGGGAUAACUUCGGGAAACCGGAGCUAAUACCGGAUAAUAUUUUGAACCGCAUGGUUCAAAAGUGAAAGACGGUCUUGCUGUCACUUAUAGAUGGAUCCGCGCUGCAUUAGCUAGUUGGUAAGGUAACGGCUUACCAAGGCAACGAUGCAUAGCCGACCUGAGAGGGUGAUCGGCCACACUGGAACUGAGACACGGUCCAGACUCCUACGGGAGGCAGCAGUAGGGAAUCUUCCGCAAUGGGCGAAAGCCUGACGGAGCAACGCCGCGUGAGUGAUGAAGGUCUUCGGAUCGUAAAACUCUGUUAUUAGGGAAGAACAUAUGUGUAAGUAACUGUGCACAUCUUGACGGUACCUAAUCAGAAAGCCACGGCUAACUACGUGCCAGCAGCCGCGGUAAUACGUAGGUGGCAAGCGUUAUCCCGAAUUAUUGGGCGUAAAGCGCGCGUAGCGGUUUUUUAAGUCUGAUGUGAAAGCCCACGGCUCAACCGUGGAGGGUCAUUGGAAACUGGAAAACUUGAGUGCAGAAGAGGAAAGUGGAAUUCCAUGUGUAGCGGUGAAAUGCGCAGAGAUAUGGAGGAACACCAGUGGCGAAGGCGACUUUCUGGUCUGUAACUGACGCUGAUGUGCGAAAGCGUGGGGAUCAAACAGGAUUAGAUACCCUGGUAGUCCACGCCGUAAACGAUGAGUGCUAAGUGUUAGGGGGUUUCCGCCCCUUAGUGCUGCAGCUAACGCAUUAAGCACUCCGCCUGGGGAGUACGACCGCAAGGUUGAAACUCAAAGGAAUUGACGGGGACCCGCACAAGCGGUGGAGCACGUGGUUUAAUUCGAAGCAACGCGAAGAACCUUACCAAAUCUUGACAUCCUUUGACAACUCUAGAGAUAGAGCCUUCCCCUUCGGGGGACAAAGUGACAGGUGGUGCAUGGUUGUCGUCAGCUCGUGUCGUGAGAUGUUGGGUUAAGUCCCGCAACGAGCGCAACCCUUAAGCUUAGUUGCCAUCAUUAAGUUGGGCACUCUAAGUUGACUGCCGGUGACAAACCGGAGGAAGGUGGGGAUGACGUCAAAUCAUCAUGCCCCUUAUGAUUUGGGCUACACACGUGCUACAAUGGACAAUACAAAGGGCAGCGAAACCGCGAGGUCAAGCAAAUCCCAUAAAGUUGUUCUCAGUUCGGAUUGUAGUCUGCAACUCGACUACAUGAAGCUGGAAUCGCUAGUAAUCGUAGAUCAGCAUGCUACGGUGAAUACGUUCCCGGGUCU